rnacentral:snoRNA from 1 species
UGGGAUGAUGCGAGGGUAGGUGGCUGAGCCGUGAUGAACUAAUCGGCCCCUGACC